AGUCGCAUAGCUCAGUCUGGUUAGGGUACUUACUUGACAUGCAAGGNGUCGGUGGUUCAAGUCCACUCGCAACUA
rnacentral:tRNA from 1 species